GGUUCGGGAGCCUUCCUUUGGGACGGGAGGCAUGAAUGGAACCGGCCCCUUCAUUCGCAAGCGGCGCGCACCGGGCCCCGACGGUUCGCA
rfam:Rhodobacter vinaykumarii strain DSM 18714 genome assembly, contig: Ga0111635_102